rnacentral:lncRNA from 1 species
AAAAGAAACAUUCUCAAUUUUCAUUCAUCACAAUUUUCAACUGUAUUUAAUCACGUAACACUUUGCUACCAUGAAUCUCUCAAUAAUCAAAUCAUGUCUUAAAAUACAAAAUUAUCACAUCUAGAACUUAACACUAGUUUUCUAAAAAAUAAUGAGAAAAUGUCUUGAAUAAAAUCCAGUGGCAUAAAUUUAGCUCUCAUCGUUUUUUAGCCGGCAUCAACAAUUAAUCUCGUCAUCCAAAAUAACCUGCAUGAAUCUGCAUGAAUGCACAAUAAUAUACAUCAAUUAGUAGCAAGAAAUCAAGUUAUAAGUACAAUACUAUUAUUACUAUCAGUAAUAACAUCCACAAAUACAAAACAUAAAAUCUCUCAAAUAGUAUUUUUAACAUUCAUAAGAGCCAAAAACUCAGAAAAGCUUAAAAAAUAUAUAGACAUGCACUUCAAAGAGAAACAAAAAUUAACACAGAAGAAUAUGAACAAGGCAUGAAAGAAGAUUAAUAAAACUCUAAUCGAAUUUCUUGUCUCGUCACUAAUAGCAUAUUGCCCCUAAAGAACAUACAACACAUAGAUUUACAUUGCCAAAAACUAAAAUUGAAAAAAAAAUAACACCUGGAUUGUCUUCAUUGAAGGUUUUGUUCGUAUUUCUCGGAUAACUUGUUAUUCUCUUCAAGUUUCCAAUCCUUGAAGUUCUUUAUCAGGCCAUUCUUAACAUUCGCCAAUCUAUCAUCUUUCUCCCUUAACGAAUUUUCUAUGAUCAAAUAUUAAAAAGAAUAAAAAAAUACAUUCUAGAAAAUCGGGACAAUUAUAGAUGAAAGAAAUGAAGAACACUUCUUGCUUGAUAACACAUAAACCAAGAACUCUUACAAAACAAAUCAAUUUGAGGUUUACCCUUGCGACCUGCUAAAAAAAAUAGACAAAAGAAAAGGGAAGAUAACUCAACUCAAUAUUGCAAACAAGAUCAUUAAGGUGAUAAAAAAAAAAAAAGCAAAUAUAAAUACUUAAUUAUCUCUUGCAGUGUUUAUAGUCUUAGUGAAAAGCCUCAAAAUUGUGCUCUCGCAGAACAUAUAAUUCAUAGAACAUAGAGACAAACGAGCAAGUUUAACAAACUACUGAGUAACACUAAAUGAUCACGAACAUCUUUCAAGGCAUUGAGUACAACAGAUAAUUCAAUACCUGGAUUAUCUUGACUGUUCAGUUUUUGAUAUUUUUCAGAUAGAUUCUUAUUCUCUUCCGAAUAUACAAUAUAGAGUACGACUUUGUUAAAUCCACCAUCAGAAUUCGGAAAACCUUACACCAAGCUCCAACCCUUCAUGAAGUUCUCCCUAAAUCAAAUGUGAAGAAGCACACUUAAAAAAUAGGACAUUUACAGAGGAAGAAAAUAAGGAUACAGACUUUGUACUUCACAAUCCAGAACACCAACCCAAUAAAUCAAUUUGAGGUUUAGCUUGUCCUGCACAAAAACAAAUAUAAUAAAAAUAAAAACUUAUCAUCGCGACCAAAAACCCCCCAAUCAGAGAUAAUUGUUGUAGAACCAAUUUCCCCGGUAUUUCGAUUUCGUUUUUCAAUGUAUAUAUGCAAAUACAUAUUCAACUUUACAGUUACAAAUAAUAGGAUUAGGGGUUUAAUUUUUUGAAUGGGAUAAACAAUUUUAAUAAAAAUUACCACUACAAUAAUAAUAAAUCGCCUUAAAUGAAAAAGAAAGAAGAAAGAAUAUUACCUUCAAAAGGGUACUCCCCUUCUUCAUCCGAGAACUCAUGGUGGCGUGAAAGCUUGAGAGGGAAAACAACUCUCUGUGUUGAGUGCUGAAAAGGGGAGUGAACGGUGAAUAGAUUGAAAGGGGCUA